UACGUAGGGGGCUAGCGUUGUCCGGAAUCAUUGGGCGUAAAGAGCGCGUAGGCGGCCAGAUAAGUCCGGUGUGAAAGUCACAGGCUCAACCUGUGAAUGCCGCUGGAAACUGUCUGGCUAGAGUCCGGAAGGGGCGAGUGGAAUUCCUGGUGUAGCGGUGAAAUGCGCAGAUAUCAGGAGGAACACCGGUGGCGAAGGCGGAUCUCUGGGCCUUACCUGACGCUCAGGCACGAAAGCUAGGGGAGCGAACAGG
rnacentral:rRNA from 1 species